GACGAACGCUGGCGGCGUGCCUAAUACAUGCAAGUUGAGCGAUGAAGAUUGGUGCUUGCACCAAUUUGAAGAGCAGCGAACGGGUGAGUAACGCGUGGGGAAUCUGCCUUUGAGCGGGGGACAACAUUUGGAAACGAAUGCUAAUACCGCAUAACAACUUUAAACAUAAGUUUUAAGUUUGAAAGAUGCAAUUGCAUCACUCAAAGAUGAUCCCGCGUUGUAUUAGCUAGUUGGUGAGGUAAAGGCUCACCAAGGCGAUGAUACAUAGCCGACCUGAGAGGGUGAUCGGCCACAUUGGGACUGAGACACGGCCCAAACUCCUACGGGAGGCAGCAGUAGGGAAUCUUCGGCAACGGACGAAAGUCUGACCGAGCAACGCCGCGUGAGUGAAGAAGGUUUUCGGAUCGUAAAACUCUGUUGGUAGAGAAGAACGUUGGUGAGAGUGGAAAGCUCAUCAAGUGACGGUAACUACCCAGAAAGGGACGGCUAACUACGUA
rnacentral:rRNA from 1 species